GGCUGGUUAGCUCAGCUGGUUAGAGAGUGGUGUUAAUAACACCAUGGUCAAGGGUUCAGAUCCCCUUACUGGCCA